GAAUCUGCCUGGUAGUGGGGGAUAACGUUCGGAAACGGACGCUAAUACCGCAUACGUCCUACGGGAGAAAGUGGGGGAUCUUCGGACCUCACGCUAUCAGAUGAGCCUAGGUCGGAUUAGCUAGUUGGUGGGGUAAUGGCUCACCAAGGCGACGAUCCGUAACUGGUCUGAGAGGAUGAUCAGUCACACUGGAACUGAGACACGGUCCAGACUCCUACGGGAGGCAGCAGUGGGGAAUAUUGGACAAUGGGCGAAAGCCUGAUCCAGCCAUGCCGCGUGUGUGAAGAAGGUCUUCGGAUUGUAAAGCACUUUAAGUUGGGAGGAAGGGCAGUCAGUUAAUACCUGGUUGUUUUGACGUUACCAACAGAAUAAGCACCGGCUAACUUCGUGCCAGCAGCCGCGGUAAUACGAAGGGUGCAAGCGUUAAUCGGAAUUACUGGGCGUAAAGCGCGCGUAGGUGGUUCAGCAAGUUGGAG
rnacentral:rRNA from 1 species